rnacentral:rRNA from 1 species
GACGAACGCUGGCGGCGUGCUUAACACAUGCAAGUCGAACGAUGAAGCCGGAGCUUGCUCCGGUGGAUUAGUGGCGAACGGGUGAGUAACACGUGAGCAAUCUGCCCUUGACUCUGGGAUAACUGCGGGAAACUGUAGCUAAUACCGGAUACGACACCUUGGGGCAUCCCAGGGUGUGGAAAGAAUUUCGGUCAAGGAUGAGCUCGCGGCCUAUCGGCUAGUUGGUGAGGUAAUGGCUCACCAAGGCGACGACGGGUAGCCGGCCUGAGAGGGUGACCGGCCACACUGGAACUGAGACACGGUCCAGACUCCUACGGGAGGCAGCAGUGGGGAAUAUUGCACAUGGAGGAAACUCUGAUCGAGUGACGCCGCGUGGAGGAAGAAGGGCUUCGGCCUGUAAACUCCUUUUCCCUGGGAGAAACUCAUGAUCGUACCAGGGGGAUAAGGGACUGCUAAAUUUGUGCCAGCCGCCGCGGUAA